UACGUAGGGCGCAAGCGUUGUCCGGAAUUACUGGGCGUAAAGCGCGCGUAGGCGGCUUUGCAAGUCGGGUGUGAAAUCCCCAGGCUUAACCUGGGAACUGCAUUCGAGACUGCAUUGCUAGAGUAUGGGAGAGGGAAGUGGAAUUUCCGGUGUAGCGGUGAAAUGCGCAGAUAUCAGGAGGAACACCGGUGGCGAAGGCGGGUCUCUGGGCCGUAACUGACGCUGAGGAGCGAAAGCGUGGGGAGCGAACAGG
rnacentral:rRNA from 1 species